AAAUGAGGGCCCUGAAGAGCUUUUUCUCUAGACAGACAUCUCUUGAAGGUCUGCCUGUUGAAUAAACAGACCUAGCUCAGGGAGGGUUUUCUGGUGCUACAAAAGACUGCGGAAGAAAUAUAUCUAUGGCCAUUUUUUUAAUAGCAUAAGAAGAACAAAAAUACCUGUAGUGGUCUCAAGGUGAAAAGGAAAUUGAUCAAGUGUAGGAAAAAGACUAAGCUCCUUUCAAAGGAUUUCAGCAUCAAAGACUUUGAUCCCUGAGACAACUUCUAGCUGGCAAAUUCUCCAAAUAUGAUUACCUCCAAUAUAUGAGCUCAUUUCUCUGUACUUACUCCCAAAUGGUGAACAUCGAUUUGCGACAUUAAUGAAGUAAGUACCCAACUAUCCUUGUUCAUGAGCUAUUACCUCGGUAUUGAUUGUAGUCUUAAUUGACAAUUACUUGAGUGGGCUGGGCUAUACUGAGCUUUUAUUAAUUUUCCAUGGUGAUACUCAUUACUAAACUUCAUUGCAAUUGUGUAACAAUGUAUACUCCCCCCUGUAGCUCACUGAAUUGGAAAAUUCCACUGGCCAUUUCCCAAACCUCUUUAUCCUGGAAAAUAAAAAUUUUGCUAUUGCUAAAUUUGAUAUCAGGAUUCUAGACCUCGAUUCUGCGGGGAGAGAAUUGGCUGUGAAAAUAAAUAGAAUUUGCUAAA